CCUGCCCGGGGAGGGGAGCUGAAACCUGUCCCUGGCACAUCUCUGGCCUCAGCAUGGCCCCAGCUCAGCUCAGUGCAGGUGUGGAGACCUCCAGGUGGGCAGGGAAGGGGCAGGAACCUGAGUGCUGCGGUUUAGGAAGGAGCCUCCCCUGAAAUUGAUAGUAAAAGGGUUUUAAAAUCACAGGGAUUUAGGGUUAAAAGGAAAAUUAAGCUUAGUAGGCCCUGAAAAAAAAAACCACCCUAGGUACAUGAAGGCAUCAUGGGGAUUUAGGGUUAAAAGGAAAAUUAAGCUUAGUACGCCCUGAAAAAAAAACCACCCUAGGUACAUGAAGGCAUCAUGGGGAUUUAGGGUUAAAAGGAAAA